rnacentral:misc_RNA from 1 species
UUUCCGUAGGUGAACCUGCGGAAGGAUCAUUAAUGAGUUGUCAUGGGGUUCGAUGCUGGCAGCCAAUUUUUGGAUGCAUGUGCUUGCCCUAACAAUCAUCUUCCAAACACCUGUGCACAUUUUUGAGGGAGUCUUGAGUUGGUUGCCGCUCUUGGGUGAUUUUCUCAAAUUCCCUUAAAUCAUUAUACGCUAUUAACAAUGUUGAACGUGCUCUGUGCCGCAAGGCUAUUAAUAUAAUACAACUUUUAACAACGGAUCUCUUGGCUCUC